rnacentral:lncRNA from 1 species
UGGGAUUAGAUAUUAAACUUGAUAGGAUUUUGAUGAGCAUUGAUUUUGGAUGAUUUAGAUUUGUAUUGACUAUAUAAGAGCUUUGCAAAAUCGGGAUUUGUUUUGGAUGACUCUAGAUUUGUGAAAUAAAGUGGAUGAUACUUUUUGGAGAAUUUUGUAAGUUUGGCAGUAGAUCUACAAAUAAAAUUUUGAAGAUUUGUGAUUUUAUAUGUAUUUGAUAUAUGCUGUGAGUUUAAGCUAGAUGGAAGGGUUGGAACAAGGAUUAUUGAGGUUUAAAUGGGUCAAAAUCUUGAAAAUUAGAGUUUUAGGUCCA